UACGGAGGGUGGAAGCAUUAAUCGGAUUUAUUGGGUGUAAAGAGCAUGUAGGCGGGUAAGCAAGUCAGAUGUGAAAUUUCGAAGCUCAACUUCGAAGCUGCAUUUGAAACUACUUAUCUUGAGGGUAGACGGAGAAAACGGAAUUCCAAGUGUAGCGGUGAAAUGCGUAGAUAUUUGGAAGAACACCGGUGGCGAAAGCGGUUUUCUAGUUUAUUCCUGACGCUGAGAUGCGAGAGCAAGGGGAGCAAACAGG
rnacentral:rRNA from 1 species